UCCUUCUCCGUCCUCGCGUUUGAAAUAGACGUCCAAAUACUGGCGCUGCAAAGCAACAACACGCGCGAUAUUUCAAACCGGGCAUGCGACCGCGCGCGUACUGUACUGACCGAUCGGUAGAUAUAGCGACGAGUUUGGAAGCCGUAUGCCUGUCUGAACUCGACGGCGUCGCCGCUAUAUAAACGAGCUCCACGCCCAGGCUCUCUAACUCCCAAGCAAGCUCGCGCCCUGCUGCCUGACGCUCGUCUCUGACUGACAACCCACCUUCGUACGUGCUUCCUUGGAGUUAGCUUGCUUGACAGUUCAGAGUUCAGACCGCCCAUCCAUCACGGAUCACCGCAGCAACAACAAAUGGCGACGACGACGACGGUGAAGAUGGCCAAGGUGGUGUUGCUACUCGUCUUCUUGGUGCAAAUUAUGAGCGUCCUCGCCGCUGCGGCGAGACCCCUGGAUGGGGACUCCGGCACUGGGACCGGCAGUUGGCUGGAGACCGGCGUCGGGAUGCUCACGCAGUUGUUGCUUGGUGCUAAAUCGUCGGGGUCCAACCCGCGCACGCAUUGCUGCUGAUCAAUCGCGUCUGCACUGCACCCUGAGGCCCUGAACAUUCUUCUUUUGAUUCAUUUAAACGAUGCAUGGAGGGCAUGGACACCAACCAAAAUGAAGAUGUGUGUGACCGUGCCUCUGCAGUCUGCGCUCACUAGUUUUUUUUAUAUUUCUGCCCCUUUUCAUAUAGUAGUUUGUGCUAUGUAUUAGGGACCAGCCAUUUCUCUUAGAAAACUUAAGUUGUAAUUAUCAUACCAUGUACAUGAUCCUUUCUUUUCAAUGCAAAAUCAUUUGUGUUUAUAUUAUUCACUAUGUUAAAAAAGUCCUUUAGACACGAGCGUUCAGGUGCAUCAC
rnacentral:lncRNA from 1 species